ACGCCUUAUACAUGCAAGUCGAACGAAGUAGCAAUACUUAGUGGCAGACGGGUGAGUAACAUGUGGGUAUCUUCCCUUUGGUGAGGAAUAACACGAGGAAACUUGUGCUAAUACCUCAUAAGUCUUUACGGAGAAAGCUUUAAGCGCCAAUGGAUGAGCCUGCACUUGAUUAGUUUGUUGGUGGGGUAAUGGCCUACCAAGACUUUGAUCAAUAGCUGAUCUGAGAGGAUGAUCAGCCACAUUGGGACUGAGACACGGCCCAAACUCCUACGGGAGGCAGCAGUAGGGAAUAUUGCACAAUGGAGGAAACUCUGAUGCAGCGAUGCCGCGUGAGUGAAGAAGGCCUUUGGGUUGUAAAGCUCUUUCGUCGGGGAAGAAAAUGACGGUACCCGAAUAAGAAGGUCCGGCUAACUUCGUGCCAGCAGCCGCGGUAAUACGAAGGGACCUAGCGUAGUUCGGAAUUACUGGGCUUAAAGAGUUCGUAGGUGGUUAAAAAAGUUGGUUGUGAAAUCCCGAAGCUUAACUUCGGAACUGCAAUCAAAACUUUUUAGCUAGAGUAUGAUAGAGGAAAGCAGAAUUUCUAGUGUAGAGGUGAAAUUCGUAGAUAUUAGAAAGAAUACCAAUUGCGAAGGCAGCUUUCUGGAUCAUUACUGACGCUGAGGAACGAAAGCAUGGGUAGCGAAGAGGAUUAGAUACCCUCGUAGUCCAUGCCGUAAACGAUGUGUGUUAGACGUUGGAAAUUUAUUUUCAGUGUCGCAGCGAAAGCAGUAAACACACCGCCUGGGGAGUACGACCGC
rnacentral:rRNA from 1 species